GAUGAACGCUGGCGGCGUGCCUAAUACAUGCAAGUCGAGCGAACGGACGAGAAGCUUGCUUCUCUGAUGUUAGCGGCGGACGGGUGAGUAACACGUGGAUAACCUACCUAUAAGACUGGGAUAACUUCGGGAAACCGGAGCUAAUACCGGAUAAUAUUUUGAACCGCAUGGUUCAAAAGUGAAAGAGGGUUUUGCUGUCAUUUAUAGAUGGACCCGCGCUGCAUUAGCUAGUUGGUAAGGUAACGGCUUACCAAGGCAACGAUGCAUAGCCGACCUGAGAGGGUGAUCGGCCACACUGGAACUGAGACACGGUCCAGACUCCUACGGGAGGCAGCAGUAGGGAAUCUUCCGCAAUGGGCGAAAGCCUGACGGAGCAACGCCGCGUGAGUGAUGAAGGUCUUCGGAUCGUAAAACUCUGUUAUUAGGGAAGAACAUAUGUGUAAGUAACUGUGCACAUCUUGACGGUACCUAAUCAGAAAGCCACGGCUAACUACGUG
rnacentral:rRNA from 1 species